UACGGAGGGUGCGAGCGUUGUUCGGAAUCAUUGGGCGUAAAGCGCGCGCAGGCGGUGGAGUAAGUCUAUGGGUGAAAUGCCGGAGCUCAACUCCGUGCAGGCCCAGGAUACUGCUUCACUAGAGACACGUAGAGGCGAGCGGAAUUCCGGGUGUAGCGGUGGAAUGCGUAGAGAUCCGGAAGAACACCGGAGGCGAAGGCGGCUCGCUGGGCGUGAUCUGACGCUGAGGCGCGAAGGCGUGGGGAGCAAACAGG
rnacentral:rRNA from 1 species